GUGCCAGGCUGAGCAGACUCAGGAGGCGUCUCUCCGAGGGUGUGGGCUGUGAUGGGGCCCUGUGCACCCAUCCAGGCUGCCCAGACCAGGAGAGCACAGGUCAGCCAGACACAUGAUGGAAGCCUCCCCAACCUCUGGCCUCCAGUCCCAACAAGCCAUGCUCCUUCCAGAGGGAACCUCUGCCAGGGGAGCCUCCACUUUCUUGCUCCUGCCUCCCUACCUGGCACCCAGGCCGGCCCUGGUACCCUGGUACUGAAUAAAGGCACACGUCUAAAUGAUGUCGGGGGGAAUCUGCCCAGUGUUGGCACUGGAGCGAACACGACCCACUGCCAGCAUGGCCCACGAGCCACGCCCCCCCCAAGCCAGCACCUCCUCCCCAGAGGAAGCACGGGGCUCAAGGGGGCACGCCCCUGAAUGGGAGGUCACACAUGGUGCAUACAAUGGAAUAGGAUUAAUCCGUGAAAAGGAAGAAAUUCUGACACAUGCUCCAGCGUGGAGGAACCUUGAGGACAACACUGAGUGAAAUAAGCCAGACACGAAAGGACAGAUACGGCAAGACUCGACUUACGUGAGGUCCCUAGAGGAGUCGGAUUCAUAGAGACUGAAAGGAUGGCGGGCACCAGGGGCGGUGGAGAGGGGAAAUGGGGAGUUACUGUUUAAUGGGGACAGAGUUUCAGUUUUACAAGAUGAAAAGGGUCCUGGAGCUGGAUGGGGGUGACGGCCGCACAACAGCAUGAAUGGACUGAACGCCACUGAACUGAACUCUUGAAAAUGGUUAAACUGGCAAAUUUUGUUAUGCAUAUUUUGCCACAAAAAGCAAACAACUCUUCUCCCCAAAAAUAUCUGGGGUGUACUUACACUAAAUAUGUAGGGCAUAUUUACGCUCAACAUUUAUUUCCUUAUUUGAAAUUAAAGUAUUUGGGACACACUGCA
rnacentral:antisense_RNA from 1 species